rnacentral:lncRNA from 1 species
UUUGAUACCAAUCAAUCAGAUUGUAUGUUUGAGUUCACCUGUUCCAACAUGAUAAAUAAAAAAGGAUUAAUUUCAUACAUUGUCCUACAAACAUAAUGAAUAACAAAUAUAUUCCUACAAAGUGAUGAAUAGAAAAUUUCAUAGUGUCCAUAAAACCUGUAUAGUAACAUAAUUUCAAAUUGUCGGCUAAAGCAAUAGUAGAAGGAACGGUCUAUCUGAAUUGGCUGCAUGUUGGUGGACCAUUUGGAAGGCCAGAAACAACCUUGUUUUUCGUGAUAUUUAGUUUGACCUUAUUUUAGCGGUGCAAAGACUCAAGCUUUUGAUUGAUUCUUGGAAAGACACUCUAUGACAUCCUUUUUUCUUUUUCUUUUUUUCUUUCUUUUUUUUCUCUUCUCGAGACCCUGGUUGUCUCAUCUCUGUAGCCUAAUUCAUUUAUUCAAUGAAUGAAGCAGGUAGCGUGCUAUCUAUUCUCAAAAUCCUAUCUCAAAAUUAUGGGUG